AUAGAGCAUAUGCUGUCAAUAGGGGGAAAUACUGCAGACUACUCAGUGUCUGGGUGCCCCCUAGCGUAUGAAUGCUUUCUGCCAAAUCGAGAUUCAAUUCGGAGGAGCCUUCUGACAUGGAAACUGCCUCCGUCCCUUGUCUCUUACAUUGACCAAAGUAACGUGCGUCCAUUUCUAACUGAUUCAUGUUUUAGAAAAUGUCUUCUAAUUGACUUGGACGUCGUCGAGGUAUCCUUGUUGGUCUAUUUUGUCUCUUCAUAUAAGCUGUCCUGAAAUCCCUGUGCCUGCGGAGCUCUUAAAGGACAGGGAUGUUUUUUAUUUGUCGCUUAAUCAUUGAUUGAUAUAUUAAUUGGAUUUUAGAUUAAAAACAUUUUCUCCGUCAUUCUAAAGUAAAUGUAGGGUUUAAAUAAUAUCUUCAGUCUUCAGUUUAUCAUAUUGUUUUAUUGUGGAUUGUACUUGAAAAUUCCAUUGAAGGUCAUCACGGAAAUCCUGCUUUGGCCUACAACUUAUCGUGUUAAAUCAGAUGAAGCCAACAUGGAAAAUGAUUCUUAAAAAAAUAAUACGGAGUUAAAGGCCUGGCAGAGUGGUGCAAACAUCCUCUCCCUCACUGGAAAAAAUCAAGAGCACUUCUUCAAUCUAUAUUUUGCGUGUCCCAGAGGACUCUCACAAACGUCCACAGAUGCACCAUCAAGAGCAUACUCUCAGGCUGCAUCACCACCUGCCGAAAAUCAUAUGGAUCUUCAGAAACUGGUGAGAUUAGCCCAACACACCAUCGUGGGCACAAGGCCUGCCCUCCAGGACAUUUACUCCACACGGUGUUGUAGAAAGUCCACACAGUUGAUCAUGGUCCUCAGCCACCCAAUCGAUAAGCUGUUCACGUUGCUACUAGUAGACACAGACAGGUCAGUAACAUCACAACCAGGGUUGAGAGUCUGAAAAAAACUUUCUUCCCUCAGGCUAUCAAACUGCCCAUUUACACACUCACACAUUCUAUGAAAAGCUCUAGUCAGGAUAUGAUAGUUAAUACGUAUGGAGUGAUGCUACAGAAAUGUAACAAUUGUUACAAUAAAGCAAACUGUAUAUGAA